rnacentral:rRNA from 1 species
UACGUAGGGAGCGAGCGUUGUCCGGAUUCAUUGGGCGUAAAGAGCUCGUAGGCGGCUUGAUAAGUCGGAUGUGAAACCUCCAGGCUCAACCUGGAGUCGCCAUCCGAUACUGUCAUGGCUAGAGUCCGGUAGGGGCCCACGGAAUUCCUGGUGUAGCGGUGAAAUGCGCAGAUAUCAGGAGGAACACCGGUGGCGAAGGCGGUGGGCUGGGCCGGCACUGACGCUGGAGGAGCGAAAGCGUGGGGAGCGAACAGG